rnacentral:rRNA from 1 species
GAUGAACGCUGGCGGCGUGCCUAAUACAUGCAAGUCGAGCGAACAGACGAGGAGCUUGCUCCUUCGACGUUAGCGGCGGACGGGUGAGUAACACGUAGUUAACCUACCUAUAAGACUGGGAUAACUUCGGGAAACCGGAGCUAAUACCGGAUAAUAUUUCGAACCGCAUGGUUCGAUAGUUAAAGAUGGCUUUGCUAUCACUUAUAGAUGGACCUGCGCCGUAUUAGCUAGUUGGUAAGGUAACGGCUUACCAAGGCAACGACGCGUAGCCGACCCGAAGGAGUGAUCGGCCAGACGGGAUCUGAGACACGGUCCAGACUCCGACGGGGGGCAGCAGUAGGGAAUCUUCCGCAAGGGGGGAAAGCCUGACGGAGCAACGCCGCGGGAGUGAUGAAGGUCUUCGGAUCGUAAAGCUCUGUUAUUAGGGAAGAACAAAAGUGUAAGUAACUGUGCAGGUCUUGACGGUACCUAAUCAGAAAGCCACGGCUAACUACGUG